AAAAAAUCUAACGACAGUACAAUAGUGAAUUUAAAUAUUUGGCUUCUCUGCCUUCCCAGCUGUGAAAUGGCUGGGAUUUCCAAGUGGAAGAUGAAGAGAACACAGCCUUUUGGGAUUUUCUUCAAGAAACCUGUUUUAAUGCAUCAUUUCUAACAAAGAGUCUCUUCUGGCAUAAACUGACAUGACUCCACUAAUUCUGACAUCCCUCAGCCAAAGCCUUGGUCCUUCCAAAAUAUUUAUAGUAGAUGUAAUUUGUUUUCCCAGCAGCAUAUUCCCUUUGAAAUUAAUAAAAUAGUAGAAGCCAGGAUGCCUUGGGAUGAUGAAAGAAUCGGGGCAUGGGAUUCAGGUUCUGCCCUAGAUACACAAUCGGCAUAUCAGAUAUUUCAGACAGACCUUUCCACCCAUCAUCUGGGCUCUGAUUUGUUUUUUUGGGCAGCCUGUGCCCUGGCCUACAUUUUGCUGCAUGCACCAUCUUAGCGUUACUGCCUCUUUCCCAACUUGCUCUGGGGAUAGCAUGGCCCUGAUGUCACAAAAGUGAGAAGGCUGGGAAGAUGGACAGAGAAAACAGAAAAAGGGAGGAGGAAACAGAAACGUCCAAAUAAAUGUAGUCUCCUCUACUUGCUUUGUUUUUCCAUCCUCGCCAUAGGCUCAUGUUCAAGACAUUACAGUCUGUUGCCAUAACACUUGUCCUGGUACCAAGGAGCCAGCUAACUGGCUUCUGCACAAAGGCAGGUUAAUAAAAAUAAUUCUUGUGACAACCAAGGGAGAAAAUGACCUUUUGCAUUUUUUCUCCUUCAAGCAGAGGAUCAGAAACCAAGGGAAGCAAGGACAGAGAAUGUUCUGGGACUGAAUGGGGAAGUGCAGAUGGGCUCGAAUUGAGUGUUUACACAAAGAACUGGUCCUUCCCUUUUACAGUUUAUUCUAGAUGUUUUUUCACCCGCUUCUGCCACACUCACUGGUAACUGUCGGUGCUUCCCAGGCUGUCCUUGGUGCAGGGAGGAGAGCCGUUGACUGAAAAGGAAUGCUUCUGGAAGCAUCUCUCCAACCCCAUGAGACUGCUGCUUUCCAGAGAAUGAGUCAAUAUUCUUUCUUCUUACCCAUCUGACAAACUACAAAGCCUCGGAUUUUGUAAUGACACGAGCAGGCAAGGCUGUCUUUGACAGUUUGCUUUGUUAAAUGCAUCAGGUAUCAGAUGCUGCUUGCCAUUUCUUUCUUUCUUUACAGGCCACCAAAACCAGCUAAUUUUGUGAGAAGCAAACUACAAAGGAGAUCUUUUUAUUUAUAAAUUGAGAAGCUGGUUUCCCAGCUGUGUCAGUGCUAGAGUUAAGUGUGCCUCAUCUUAAAAGCUAAGUGGUCCAUGAGCUGGUUGGAUGGAUGAUGCCCAAGUAAUGUCCCGUGCUGGAGGCACAAUGAGCUGUAGUCGAUAUGAGUGAAUCUUGGAACAUGGAAAGCAAAUGAAUUAUAAAACCCUUCUCAUUACUGCUAGCAGUCCAUUUAGAGGAGGAAAAAAAUACUGGUUAUUUAGAAUAUAUAAUGAAAGUAGAGGACAUACAUUGAAGUCUUUGGUGUGAGAGAUUAAUGGAUCGGACUGAGAAAUUCUUUCCCAGGUAACAUCUUACAGUGCAUACGUUACGUACUAUAAGGUUUUGAUCCAGCUUUUCUUUGCCUGGCUCUGCAGGGUGUUGUGUUAUUUACUACUUUUGCUUUUUGUACAAUCAACCAGACAGGAAGAAAUACAUGGUUGGGAAGUGCAUGAAAUGAUAGCUUUCUGGUGUGGUAAAAAGAGCAGUAGGGAGGCAGAAGAGGAAAAAUAUGUGCCUCUGACCCACAUGCAGAAGUCCCAAAACGUUUUGCUUAUGGCUUUUGUAACAGUGAAUCUCAUGCAAUUGAGUGGGUGGCAGCCCUGGCCAAGGCAGAGAGGGUGGAACUAGAUGAUUUUUAAGGUCUCUUCCAAUCCAAGCCAUUCUAUGAUUCUAUGAGAUACUUUAGUUUUUGAACAGAAGAGUGAAACUAAUGUUUGGAAGACUGAUGUUUCUGGUUCUCCACUAGUCCUGAAGAAAGGAGGCACAGGGAGCAUUAAAUCACGCUGCACUUUUAAACAUUCUUCUCUCAUUCCAUGUUUAACAGAAAAAAAAUGAAGUUGUUCAGUUGCAUGAGAGAUACUAUCACCUUCAGAGACAUAUUUAAGACUGUAGGGAAUGGAAAGCAAAAGAGCAGUGGGAUAACCUCAACAACACCACAGAAAUAAUGGAAUCAAUUUUCUUGAACAAAGGCAAGGAUCCUUCAGCUCUGAAUCACACAUUGUGAAUUUCUGCAGAGUCACGUGGAGAUGAAGAGAGUGUCGUACUUUAAGACUUGAAAAACACUUCCUGACUCCUUUCUUAAACAGAGUUUUCAAGUUUAAGAUAAGACACAUGGUAUAGAAAGAUGAUGACAGGCUUGUGCCAUAUGGAAAAUAGAAAUCACUGCUUUCAUAAUAUAGGGCAAAGCCUCAGCAUCAGUGGUACAGAUGAGGUCAGUGUAGCUAUUACUGAAGUUCAUCCCACUUAGCAUGCUGAGAUAAGGCUUCUCACAGCCACUGAUCCGUGACUCUGAAAGGCAGGAAUAUUAGCAAGUGGCAUCUGAAGAAGUUUGUAUGGCUAUGAGAGCUCUGAAAAGAGAAUUCAGUGUGCCCGUUACCUAUAGUGUCAGUGAGCACCCCUACUGCACUGGUAAAGGCCUAAUUCUGACUGAUUUGUGUCACUGUCCAUCCAGGUUCCUGGCCCUCCGUGUUCAGUGACACUAACACACCAACCAGAGGGGGUUGAUUCCCUCACCAGUGAUACUUAUCCGUACAACAGCAUUAGGUAUGAGAAUUACUCUGUUCCCCAGAUCCCUAUUUGAGCUGUUUGUCAGCUAGAAGACCAAAUAACUUACAGUCUGCAGUAAGAUAGUGAACAGUUUCACAAGGCUAUGGAUCACAAUGGUUAUUGAAGCCUGCAUGUUUUGGAGGUAUGCAAGAAAGCAGGCUGCAAAAACUGACACAUAUCCAAGAGAACACUUCAGCUGUGCUAAAAAGAGAAAAGGGGAGAGUGACAGAGGCCAGCUCCUUCGUUACUCCCAGAUGGAUAUCAGCAGAGUGUAUACAGGCUGUUUCCUAAUGAGAGGAAGUGCUAUGGUUUUGCAGGUGUAUUUUUGUAUUUCAGUCAUUUCCACCUAUUUAGGUUUUCUGUCAGAAUGCAACAGAAACUCGGCUUGUUUUUUGUCUUUGUUCUGUGGUUUUGCCUAGGGGCUGACAUACAUCAUCACCCAAUUUCUGUCGUGCUGCAGACCUUGCAGUAUGGGACUACAUGCUGUGAUCAUUAAUAAGAAACUCAAAAAAUUAGGGGAGAUUCAGAUCUCCAGUGCAAUCUGUCUUUAGAUGUAGAGGUCUGGUUUCAUCAAUUUCUAUUGAAGUUCUCAUUUGCGGCCGCCUUGGACUGGGCUGUGCUGGUGAUGACACAUGGAGGAUCAGAUAUAAUGCUCAGAAGAUGUUGUUACAAUGAGUUGAUCUCAUCAAUCUGACAAAGAGAACUUUAAGCUGUAAUUCCUGUGUUGAUGACAACGAUUUCUGCUUCAGGUAAAGCAUCUAUUUUAGGACAAGCAUCAUAUCUGGAUGUAAAGACAUUAUCUCACUAGUCUUGAGAACUUGCUCUAUGCACAGAUAGACUGUUAGUUAUUGUUUCUUUUAAAUGUCUCUGUAUCCACAUACUCAUUGACUCUUAUUUUGACAUUUGUCCAUAAGAGCUUGAAAAAUAAUGUUUGGCACGUUAAAGACCUUCAUCACUUCCCCAGCAUUAUUUAUUUAUGUAUUAAAUUAGUGAGGAGGAAGGAGUUCAGGUGCCAUGAAACUUUAUUGCUUUUUUUAACAUUUGAUUAUUUUUCUACUUUUGUGACGUUCUGUGUUUUAACACUGAAAAGCAACUGUUGGUUUCACAGUGUCUGUAGUCCAGGGCUACCAGAUAGUGGGUAAGUAACCUCCAUAACAUUAGGAAGAGAUUCCUUACUCCAUAAGAAGCCAUUAUAACUCACAUCACUGCUACUAUGUUUGUUUUGUGGCUGAUGUAGGUGACAUUUUCUGGUGUACUUUCUUCAUGUGUGCUCACUUUUUAGUAGGAAUCCAGAGAAUAUCUAAUAUUCUCUCUAUAAGAAAUAAUACAAAAUCCUUUGUCUCAGCUUGAAUUUCCCAAAAGGAACAGUCUUUUCUGGUAUUUGAGUCCCAAGUAAUCGUCCAACAUCAUGUUCCAUGCAACCUGGAACCCAAGAUUUCUAGUUUGGUUCCCUUUCCUUUUUCUUCAACAUCUUCUAAUCUGAUGAUAAAUAUUGUCAUUCAGUUUGGGAAGUGAAUCUUCAAAGAUGUGACUCAGAUAAGAAUUAGAGGGGUAAGAAUACACAGAUUUUUGGGGGUUACUUAUAAAAAAGAGGAGUUUCAAAGGUUUGGGGUGUUUUUGUUUGUUUGUUUGUUUGCAUGUUUUUGGUUGUUGGUUUGUGGGGUUUUUUUUGUUUUUUUUUGAAGGGAGGGAAGGAGAGGACCACUGCUUAUGGCCAAAACGAAGGAACUUUAUGUUUAAAAUAGACAAAAAGAUGUUAAGGUUUUGUCAAUAUCAGUUUGAGCUCCCCAUUAAUCUUUGUCAGUUGUUUAAAGUACAUAUAACUGAACCUCAUCAACCAUGUCUAAUACACUCCACUCACUCCAUAAAGUAGUCACAUUCUGCCACAGCCCAGUUUUUCACAGAGCACGGUAGUGGAGAUCUCCUUUUAGCUCUGAUAGUGACCUGAAUAUUGGACAUUAGGUAAGUUUACUUCCCCUCCUCUUCUCAGUCCCUGUCUAUAGAAAUGAGUUGUGGCAAUCACCUUCUUUCUUGGAUGGGAAGGGAUAAAAAGUGCUAUAAGAUAAUUAAAUUGUACUCUUUUAAUUAGACAGACAAUAAAGCAACUCUUCUUAGAAAACAAGUAUUUGUUCCUGUCAAGUAAGGAUAUCCUGUACCAAUCCAUCUCAUUAUGCAGAAUAUAUUGCGUACAAAAUUCAUUCUAUAUGAUAAUUCUGGAAACAUAACAGCUGACUGCAUCUCCCCAGGGGCUGCAGGCCAGGAGGUGUGCGCUUGGUUCUGAGCAUGCCAGCUGCACAGAAAGGAGGUUACAGUGGCAGUACAGACAUACAUCACCAGUGUCCGUGUGUUACACCAGCCUGCAUGUUUUUUCUGUAGGCUCAUGCUGCAUGAAUCAGCUACUAAUGAGGUCCAUAAUAAAGGAGACUAUUAAGAGAACACUGCAUUAAUAAUGCUGGCAAAGUCCCGAGACUACAGACGUUAUUUAUAGCAUAUGACUAAACAAAUAUGCAUCUCCUUUGAGGCUGAGACUCUGGGCUAAUUUACUGAUUUCCUGCACAGGCUGGUUCAUACGGAGAUUUGAGUAAAUAGUGCAUUUGGAUGUCUUGUUUGGAAGUAUGUUUUGAAACACUAAUCAUAUUAAUAUUGAAUUCUAAAGCGGAUUGGAAAUUUGUGUGUGUUUUCAGAGGAUUACGUAGUGCUCCUGUCCAGUUCUCGUGGAAAUGUGUUUUUCUGCAUUGCUUCUUUAAGGAAAAUAAAAAAUUUGAAGAGUACUGCCUGCAGCUACAGAGCUCUUAAAAUGAGCAGGAAGGUUAGAAACAGUUCUGAAAAAUGAUGAACUUUAGCAAAAGCCAAAAAAAUUACAUAUCCUCUUCUUUACAUCCUGCUUCAAAUUGAAUUCCUUUUUCUUUUUCUUUUUUCUUUUUUUUUUUUUAUGGAGAUUAAUUGCUAUUGAGAGAGAAUUGAAGAUUUAAAUGCAUUUGAGUAAUGAAUCGCUUGAUUUAUGCUUUUGUUUUUUGUCUGCCUCAGAUACAGCAAGUUUAGAGAGGCCUUCAGAACUGCAGGAAGCUGCAAGCUCACAAAAUUCCCUUGUACAGUCUGCUGAUUUUAUGUGUGUCAGGAGAAAUAGGAGAAAUAUUAUACAGCAAAGUGAAUGUGUCCUGAACUAAGAUGCUUCCAUGCACAGCAUCUCUCUUUUAAGUAGUAAGGCUGAUCAUUCAACAACUUCCUUCAAAUUUCUCACAUAACUUAAAAACAAAACAGCCAUGACAACGUAUAGAAAGGCAAAAAUAUAGUUUGUGAAACACCUCUGCUUUUAUGUCUUAUCUGAUUACUCUCCUCGUUUAAAUUCCCGAAUAAAAACAGUUGAAAAUGAUACAUACUGACAUGUAAAAACAGUUGACUGUAUGAUGCCCAAAGAAUUUGAUAAGAAAAUAUCACUUACCAUUGCUAAGUAUCUUCUUACUUAGGUAGGUUAUUAUCAUCCCCUCUUAGGCAUGGAAUUCACAGCAGAGUCAGCUCCCUGCGUGUUGAACACUUGACAAAAUAAUAAAUGCAGUGCAACUCCACAGUGUUUGGAUAUUUGACUGUAGCUCCUGAACACUCAAAGUGACUACUCAAUAUAACAAUUUUCCUUAGCAGAAAAUGCCUUGCUAUUUGCCAGCAAAUCUUUAAUGCUUUAGAUUGGGUAUUUCCAACUACCGCCCUACUUGCGAGGCAGAUGUGUAUAAAAGAGAUGUUAUUUCACUGAAUCAACCACUGAGAUCGUAACCCUUUUCCUGUACCACAAACAGAAAUGUAAAACCUCAGACUUUCCUUUUGGACUUCACUGACUUGUGUCUGUUGUAAGAAAGCAAAACACAACUACUCCAAAGGCUAAUAUAUGGAAAAAUGUGUUAAAAUGUUUUAGAUCAUCUCAAUACCUCUAAUUCCUGCCAUUCAUUGGUUAACUGGCUCGUUCUGUGUUUAUGUAGUUGCAUGGUACAAAUACAGCACCUAAACUCCUUGCCCAAAGUUGAAAUGAUUCAUUUAUUACUCUUAGCCCAAAAAGAAAGGGGGGUGAGGGGGGAAGAAGAAAGAAAAUACACAGUGUUCAUUUAACCCAAGUGACUGAAAACGCCUUUCAUAAGCUCUGCAAGGGCUUGGGGAACUUGGUCUUGGGUGAAUAAAGUCUGUGUAGUGGAGCAAAUGGUUUUGUCUCAGGAUGACAGAAAUUAAGCUAAAGAAAAGAUAAAUUGGGACACUUUUGCUUCUAGAAAAGAAGAUAAUAGGAAGGGAGGUGGAAAUGGUUUUUGUAUCAGAGUGCUUUGGGGAGGGGUUCGCUUUUUUGGGGAAGGGGAGGAGACAGAAGGAGAAUGGCAGGAGGGAGGAGGUGUGUUUGUGGGGGUUCCUAAGUCCCUGCCAGUGAUCUGUGCUCUGCAAUUACAUCACUGGUCAGUGUUAAUUUAUUACCUUUUUGUGAGGUAAUUACCUUAAAUAUAUAGUGUAUAGAGUUUUCCAUCUUUUGAGUGCAUAUAAAUAUGAGUUAAUUAAAUGUUAUAGUCACUGCGGAGAAAUCACAAGAGGGACCAUGACUGGAGACCGUACUACAUUAGAAGUGGGGAACAAGACUGAGUGAAGACAUCUCUGCUACAUUGCCUGUUCUGGGGAGAUCCGUGUGAUAAGCCACUGUUCCAUAGGAUUUACCACGCUGACUUCUGAGAUUGGCUGUGGACUCAGUGAGUUACUGGAAAAAAUCGAAAUACAAUGGGUAGCCCUUGUUUCCCUGACUGUGUCCCAGCCACAGUACGAGUACCUCUAGCACAGCUCUGAUGGGACAGUGUUAUUCUGCCUUCAUUCAUCAUCCAGAUGGGUAUUAGACUUAAUCAAAUUCUAGCACUAACAGCUUGUUUCAGGACCACAGCUGGAAUCAGCAUGUCUAGACUAGCAUUGAUUUAUUCCUGGCUCCCAGACCUAUGUGCUAGCUACUAUUCCAUAUGCUUUUUGUUAGGGGUAAUAAUGCCAUUUCACGGCGUAACUUUCUUUUUUCUUUUUUUUCUUUCUUCUUCCCUUUUUCUUGAAAUUAGAAUUUAUUUUAAUAUGUGGGAAAAUGCCCUGCUGCUGCUCUGGAUGAGACUGCUGCCAAUUCUGCUGACACAGAGCAAGCUUCCAGAUAAACAAAAUAAAGUUCACAAAGGAAACAGUUAAAUUUUCUGACUGCCGUCUCUCUGUCACAGAAAAUGCUAAAUGCAUUUGUAAGUUAUAUAAAACUGCAUCAGUUCAUAUUUUUCCUUGCUGGUUUCACAGCCCAGGGACCUAGUGACAU